rnacentral:rRNA from 1 species
GGAACGAACGCUGGCGGCGGGCCUCAUACAUGCAAGUCGAGCGCGAAAGUCCGCAAGGAUGAGUAAAGCGGCGCACGGGUGAGUAACACGUGGAUAAUCUACCCUUUGGAUUGGAAUAACCUGUCGAAAGACGGGCUAAUGCCGAGUACGCACUCGAGGGCGUGAAGCUCUUGAGUGGAAAGAUGGCGCAAGCUAUCGCCGAUGGAUGAGUCUGCGUCCCAUUAGUUAGUUGGUGAGGUAACGGCUUACCAAGACAAUGAUGGGUACCUGGUCUGAGAGGAUGAUCAGGCACACUGGAACUGAAACACGGUCCAGACUCCUACGGGAGGCAGCAGUAGGGAAUAUUGCGCAAUGGACGAAAGUCUGACGCAGCCACGCCGCGUGAGUGAGGAAGGCCUUCGGGUUGUAAAGCUCUGUCGCCUGGGAAAAACGGCUAUUGGGGGAAAGUUCCAGUAGCGUGAUGGUACCAGGAGAGGAAGCACCGGCAAACUCUGUG